GACGAACGCUGGCGGCGUGCUUAACACAUGCAAGUCGAACGAAGUGGCGAACGGGUGAGUAACGCGUAAUCAACCUGCACUUCAGAGGGGGACAACAGUUGGAAACGACUGCUAAUACCGCAGCCUGAAGGAGGGGAUUGCGUCUGAUUAGCUAGUUGGAGGGGUAACGGCCAACCAAGGCGAUUAUAAGUAGCCGUGUUGGGAGGAUGAACGGCCACAUUGGGACUGGGUCACGGCCCAGACUCUUACGGGAGGCAGCAGUGGGGAAUCUUCCGCAAUGGACGAAAGUCUGACGGAGCAACGCCGCGUGAGUGAUGACGGCCUUCGGGUUGUAAAGCUCUGUUAAUCGGGACGCGGUACCGGAAUGUAAAGCCACGGCUAACUACGUGCCAGCAGCCGCGGUAAUUC
rnacentral:rRNA from 1 species